rfam:Corynebacterium durum F0235 genomic scaffold Scfld189, whole genome shotgun sequence.
GCACUACAUCUCUCACUACGGAUCGUUCGGCACGUACCUGCCGAUGGAGGUUACGCACUA